rnacentral:rRNA from 1 species
UACGUAGGGGGCGAGCGUUGUCCGGAAUUAUUGGGCGUAAAGAGCUCGUAGGCGGCCACUCAAGUCGAAUGUGAAAUCUCGAGGCUCAACCUCGAGCCUGCGUUCGAUACUGGACGGCUAGAGUCUGGUAGGGGGAUCUGGAAUUCCUGGUGUAGCGGUGGAAUGCGCAGAUAUCAGGAGGAACACCGGUGGCGAAGGCGGGAUCCUGGGCCAGUACUGACGCUGAGGAGCGAAAGCGUGGGGAGCAAACAGG